AGGAAGGAGAGAGCGAGCGAGGAGGAGGGAGGAGCCGAGGUCGCUGAGUGGGGGAGGGAGGGGGGAAAGGGGAGGGCUAAAAUGGUAAGAGGGGCCUGUAGCUCUAGCUGUUCGCCGCCUGGGGCGCUACCUCGGCCGCUGGGCCCCGACUCUCCCUGACAGCCGGCUGUUACCUAGGUGAUGCGAAGAGGAAAGGGGAGGCUCUAAUAGACGUCCGACGCUCUGGCAAUGGCCGAGGAACUCUGUGGUGGCGUUCCUUCUACGCGCUUCCGUGUCAGUCGCCCUUCCUGUGAGGGCAGUUAGGCCCUUUCCGGUUGAGCACCCUGCUUUCUGAAGUGAUCUUGAAGAACUUGUGAGGGUCUGCCUUGGUUCAGCUGCUGUCGUUAUUUUCCUCGGAACGCCAAAGCGGUUUUUUUUUUCCCUUUUCCCACCCCCGCGGAAAGGAGGCCAGCCGCUAAAGGGUUUUGUGCGUGAGGGAGGAAAAGGGGCCCUUAUUUCGUUGCCACUUGUUUCUCUUUAGAUUGAUUUUUGUACUGAAAUGAAAAUACCUUACCAAACCAGAGCACGGGUCUCAUACUGUUAAAGACUAGUUGUAAAAAUGUCCACCAAUUCGGCUGAACAUUGCAUAUGAAACAGUUAACCGUAAAGCAGUUUAUGUUUACCCCUUGCUGAAAGUUUAACACAUGACAUCUUUAAACUAUUCCUAUAAGAAGAUUUUCUGUUGUGUUUUUAAAUACUGCCAAAGUGGUUUACAUUAACCAAAUAUUUUUAUGUAUUACAUAUCUUUAUGCAAGGUAGUUUUCUAGAAGACUACAUUUAUUUAAUAGCCACAAACUCCAAAUAACAGCACCAACUUUAAGUAUUUGGUUACUGAGAUCUUCGGUGAUCAAAGAGUUUGUAGAAUAAUUGACACAUAUAGUAAACUGGGUCUCUUUCCUUCCUUACUUCAUCUUAACACCUGUUCCCACCCCAUGCCUUGCUCAAAAGAAGUAAUAGAAGCUGAAGCUGAUAAGACUAGAAAUGUUUCAGCUGCAUUUAUUCUGUUUAAACAUUCACCUAAAUUUAGUGCUGUAUUCUUAGUAAUUAGUUUCCUUACUCAAAGCUCAGCCACUGACCACAAUGGGCCUAGAAUUCUAUUAUGCUGUAUAAACCUGGUUAUGGCUCAUUUUAGCCAUUUUUUCCCUCAGCAGAAACUUUACAUAUGGUAAUUGUGAAAUGAUUGGUUUAUCUUUGAUUGUUAUGCAAUGGUAGUUGAUAAAUGCCAUUACUGAAAAAAACAGAUAUUGCAAAGAUAUAGAAACCCUAGACAUCUCAUUGCAAGUAGUUUAACAAAACACCAGACUGAGUAAUUUCUACAGUUCAACUCUAAUAUAUAUAACAAUUAACUUUAGUCAAGAUAAAGUUGCUACCCAACAACAACAACAAAAAUAACCCAGUGCCGUCCACUGGAUUCCGACUCAUAGCGACCCUAUAGGACAGAGUAGAACUGCCCUAAAGUUUCCAAGGAGCACCUGGUGGAUUUGAACUGCCGACCCUUUGGUUAGUAGUCAUAGCACUUAACCACUACACCACCGGGGUUUCCGUAGAGUUGCUAUGAGUCAGAAUUGACCGUGCUGGGUUUUCGGUUUUGGUUAGUACUUUACACGGACCCCCGCUGGUCCAGUGGUAAAGAGCUCCGCUGCUAACCGAAAGGUAGGCAAUAUGAAUCCACCAGCUGCUCCUUGGAAUCUCUACAGAGCAGUUCUACCCUGCCUUAUAGGGCAGCUAUGAGUCGGAAUCAGCCCAACGUCAACGAGUGUUUUUGGUUUAGCACUUUACAUGCUUUACCUCACUUAAUCUUUACAGUAAUCCUAGUAGGUAGGUUCUCUUGUUAUCCCCAUUUUAGAAAUGAUAAAAAUGACUAUAUGACAUUUGCACAAGUCACUUAAAUUCUGUGAGUCUUCUUCCUCAUUUGUAAAAUGUGAAUAAUAAAUAAUACUUGCCAUGACGGCACUGGGUUGUUUUUUGGUUAUGCCUACUUCACAGGUAAUGCUGUAAAAACCAUGUGAGAAUAUAUUUGUGUCAUAUUUAAAAUUUUUGUGCCAUUGUUAAUUCCAGUGAUCAUUUCUGUAUCAAUCUGGGUGCAAUCAGGAGAGAAAAAUCACACAGUAAUUUGAACAGAGAAAGUUUAAGAUAAAGAAUUAUUAACGAUAACAGGAGAUCAGAUUCGUGAGGGAUUAGUACUUGUCAUGGAUUGAAUUACGUCCCCCAAAAAUGUGUGUAUCAAUUGGGCUGGGCCAUGAUUCCUGGUAUUGUGUGAUUUUCCUACAUGUUGUAAAUCCUGCCUCUAUGGUCUUAAUGAGGGAUGAAGGGCAGCAGUUGUUAGUGAGGCAGGACUCAAUCUACAAGACUGGAUUGUGUUUUGAGACAAGGUCUUGAAAUAUAAAAGAAAUGAGCAGAGAGACAGGGGAACCUCAUACCACCAAAAAAGCAGUGUCAGGAGCAGAGCAUAUUCUUUGGACCCAGGGUUCCUGUGCAGAGAAGCUCCUAGUCUGGGGGAAGAUAGAUGAGAAGGCCGACAGAGAUGGAAAGCCUUACCCUGGUGCUGAUGCCCUGAGUUUGGACUUUUAACCUAUUUUACUGAGAGGGAAUAAAUUCCUCUUUUUUUAAAACCACCCACUUGUGGUAUUUCUGUUACAGCAGCACUAGAUAACUAAAAAUUUGGUACCAAAAGAGUGGUGUGCUUCUCUCACAGAUACCUAAAAUGUGGAAGCAGUUUCAAAACUGAAUGGAUAGAGAACCUCUAGUGGCAGAGAUGCAUCAGCGACAGCAGAACCAGGAGACCAGCACAACACAGUGCUGGAGCCGACCCACGGAGCAAGACAGCUGAGUCCCUGUGUGCAGGAGGCUUCCUGGGGGAGUAGGGGUGCUUCUGAGCACUUAUCCGUAGAGCUAGGCUUGCUGACCCACAGAGCAAGAGAGCUGAGUGCCUGUGAGCAGAACGCUUCCUGGCGGAGUGGGGUGCCUCUAGGCACUUAUCAGUGGAGCUACAGAGCUUUGGAACGCAGCAGGGCAGAGGGGGGCGUGACGCCCAAGGAGCCCGGAGGCCAAGAAACCAGGAAACAGAACCUGAAGAGACAACACAAGAAGCCAAGCUGCCUCAGUCUCAAAAGUGAAAUAAGAGCUAUAGUGAUCAGCAAGAGUGAAGAUGAGGAAGAGGCUGAAAUUUCGAGGAUGGGGAAAAGAAAAAAUACUUGUCUCAAAGAAUGGAGAUCACUAUGUUGUGGAAUCAUCACCACUAUUCAUUUCCAAAAAAGAGGAAGACUGUCAACGAGAUGGAUCGACACAGUGGCUGGAACAAUGGGCUCAAGCAUAACAACGAUUGUGAGGACGGCCCAGGACAAG